rnacentral:misc_RNA from 1 species
AUUUCAACAUGGUCCCAGUCAAUUGAUCUGUCUUCAAAGCUCUCUGAUUGGUGAAGUCUGUUUCGACCCAAUCUGCUCAUCAUGGCAAGACCUUCUACCAUCUUGUAAAGAGCUGACCACCAGCCAUCUCUGGAAAUUUGGUAUUCAUUUAGUGAUUCACUAAUUCCUUUGUCAUGCUUCCCUUCCAACACUCCCUGCAAAGUUAUCACUGCAUCCU